AGGCAAUGACGGGUAGGGGGUGUGAGAGCAUGGCCCCCAACAUUGGAACUGAGACACUGUCCAAACUCCUACGGGAGGCUGCAGUCGAGAAUAUUUGUCAAUGGGCGAAAGCCUGAACAAGCGAUGCCGCGUGUGGGAUGAAGGCCCUUGGGUCGUAAACCACUUUUGUUAUAGAAAAACUUACGUGAUGGUAUAUAGCGAAUAAGAGGUUACUAACUCUGUGCCAGCAGUAGCGGUAAUACAGAGACCUCAAGCGUUAUCCGGAUUUAUUGGGCGUAAAGAGCAGGUAGGUGGAAAUAUUAGUCAGAUGUCAAAUCCUUCGACUCAAUCGAAGAACUGCAUUUGAAACGGUAUUUCUAGAGGGAGUGAGAGAUUACUGGAACUUAUGGUGUAGCAGUGAAAUGCGUUGAUAUCAUGAGGAACACCAAAGGCGAAGGCAUGUAAUUGGCACUCUCCUGACACUGAGCUGCGAAAGCGUGGGUAGCGAAUGGGAUUAGAUACCCCAGUAGUCCACGCCCUAAACGUUGCACACUAGACAUGCGGGUAAUCGACCCCUCUCGUGUCGUAGCUAACGCGUUAAGUGUGCCGCCUGGGAAGUACGGUCGCAAGACUAAAACUCAAAGGAAUUGACGG
rnacentral:rRNA from 1 species